rnacentral:rRNA from 1 species
AUUGAACGCUGGCGGAAUGCUUUACACAUGCAAGUCGAACGGUAGAGGGGGCAACCCCUCGAGAGUGGCGAGCGGGUAAGUAAUAUAUCGGAACGUGCCCAGUCGUGGGGGAUAACGUAGCGAAAGUUACGCUAAUACCGCAUACGAUCUAAGGAUGAAAGCGGGGGAUCGCAAGACCUCGCGCGAUUGGAGCGGCCGAUAUCAGAUUAGGUAGUUGGUGGGGUAAAGGCUCACCAAGCCAACGAUCUGUAGCUGGUCUGAGAGGACGACCAACCACACUGGAACUGAGACACGGUCCAGACUCCUACGGGAGGCAGCAGUGGGGAAUUUUGGACAAUGGACGCAAGUCUGAUCCAGCCAUUCCGCAUGCAGGAUGAAGGCCCUCGGGUUGUAAACUGCUUUUGUACGGAACGAAAAGGUCUCUCUUAAUACGGGGGGCUCAUGACGGUACCGUAAGAAUAAGCACCGGCUAACUACGUGCCAGCAGCCGCCGUAA